CUGAUCUCUAAAAUGGCCAUGAUAAACACACUGAAGCUGUGGACAAGCUCUUUAACCCAGAGAACUGGAAAGAACAGUGGUAGACCAAGCUCUCUGGGUUGGAAAAGGAUUAAGUUUUUUCAGCAACAGCUGGAAGAAAAACAAGUGGAGGGCUCAAAAGAUGUAUGUUCUCACUGCAAAGAAAAUAAAGUCCCCUGACUUCACAGUGUAACAUGAAAACUUGUCAAAACCAAGCCAUUUGACCAAUAAACAACCCAUAUUGCACACCUUAGUGGCAUGAAAUUCCAAAUGGCUAUUUUGAUGCUGACCAACACCACAGAGGGAAGCAUUGUCUUAUGCCAGGUAUUGAUCUAAUCACCUCUCUCCACUAUCCUGACCUGUCACCAGUAAUGAAACAGCUGCAGUAAUAGCUUCUGUCACCUGGGAGGAAGGGAUGAAUAAAAUAAUGGAGAUGGUGGGAUGACAGUCUCCUGACAUCCUGAAGAUGACUCCCUAGGCUCCACAGCAAAUAACUUAAUAGUUUUAACAAGAACUCUGAAUAAACUGUCUAGCAUGUAGUUCAGCCUGAAAAACACCAGACAGAGAAAUUCUGCCUGAAGAAAUUGCCUCCUAAGGUCAUGUUAUGGACAAAGUGGACAUUCACCAGUCUGUCCUGGUUUGUAGAUGGGUUUGUCUGUCUGCACGAAGACGAUGCUCUCUGUGUCCCAGAUCAUCACUGACCGCCGCUCCUCUAGGCUGAUGGUGCUGCCCUUGGCAGAGAAGGAAAUGAAAGCCAGGGGUGCAG